AGCUAGCCUUUAGAUUUGUCUGUUAACAGUAGAAAUGCUAUAAUAAAUCAGUAACAUAUGUUGCCAGGCAGGGAAAAGUGGUAGACAAGAGCCUGGGAGACCAAGCCAAAUUGCUUUCUUACCCAAAUUAUCUCCGUGAUUGCCUGUCCUGAGGCUUUGGGCCAAUGCAAACUACGGAAUGGCAAGUCUUACAAUCUUGUCUGUCCUUGUCUGGCAUCCAUCCUCCUUCCAGAAUGAACAGAGGUAUAUCCAUAAGCACUGGACCCUGAUUUCACAGCCUCAUCCAAAGCCAGGCAAUUCUUGAGGCAAACAAACAAAGGGGUGUGAGUGAUUUCAUUUAUUUUGAUAAUCCUCUGUCUGCACAGGGGCACUUUGCUGUCUUUGUCAAAGUGAAUGACAACAAUUUGGCCAACUCUCUCUGAGCUGCACUCAACAGUGACAGGCAAAUUAUCAGAGGCCCUGCACUUCUUAUUAUCAGAGGAGAAGCCAUCAGGGGGACGCAGGGAGGAUGCCUCUCCCUUGUCACUAUUUGUCAGUGGGACAAGGGCCA
rnacentral:lncRNA from 1 species